UUUCUCCGCCGGCGACCGGCGCACGGGUGAGUAACACGUAUGCAACCUGCCCCUGUCAGGGGGACAACCCGCCGAAAGGCGGGCUAAACCCGCGUACAUGCCACCGGGGCAUCCCGGAGGCAGGAAAGGCUUCGGCCGGACAGGGAUGGGCAUGCGUCGCAUUAGUUAGUUGGCGGUGUAACGGACCACCAAGACGACGAUGCGUAGGGGUUCUGAGAGGAAGGUCCCCCACACUGGUACUGAGACACGGACCAGACUCCUACGGGAGGCAGCAG
rnacentral:rRNA from 1 species